rnacentral:tRNA from 1 species
GGGCGCAUAGCUCAGUUGGUAGAGCACUACCUUGACAUGGUAGGGGUCACAGGUUCAAGUCCUGUUGUGCCCACCA